rnacentral:sRNA from 1 species
AGCGCGACCGGAUCCACACCGCGGGUCACCACGAGGUAGUCCCGGAUGACCGUGCUGUGGCGCAUCUC